AAGAGAGAAGAGCAAGAAAUCAGAAUCUUAUGGAAGUGAAUUUAUAAUAAUGAUAAGGUGGCAGAGUUGAUUAAAGGAAAAAUUCUUGUUGGUUGAUUGUGAAUUAGUGCCCCUCCUCCCCUGACACUUAUAGUAUAAUUUGUUGAUUAUAUCUGCAUCCUACUUUUGAAACUAUAAUGUCAACUAAUCUAUAUCUUAACAGUUAUCAGGCACUUUUACUAAGUCAUCCAAUGAAAGACAUGGUGAUAUUGCAGAAUACCAGCCAUUUAUAAAAGCUUUCUUUAAGCUUCAACAAUGGGGAUGACGCAUCUGAUCCUCUCAUGGCUCUUAAGUAUAUUGACAAAGCUAAUGAUCGAAAAGCUUAGGGGAAGAAGGAUUUCAUAUAUAUGUUACCGGAUGCCGUCAACCAACUGACGACAUUGAUGAUUUAUCUGGAUUGAAGAUCUAUGAUAUUGGUAUAUCUAAGCUAGAUUAUACUUUUUAAUUUAUUUUUAUCAACAUUAAUAAGAAAGGUGUUUUGAUAAAUAUAUAUAUCUUGUAUUUGUAUAGAACAAAUUUUCAAAUGAAUGAUUAAAUUUAAUUGUUGGAUGUCUUAAA